rnacentral:pre_miRNA from 1 species
UAGCUUUGUCCUAAGUCAAACUGCUCUAACUUUGACCGAGUUUUUAGAAAAAUAUAAUAACAUCUAUAGUACCAAAUAAAUACACAAUCCAAGACAUUUUAUAGUAGAUUUAAUGAAACUAAUUGGAUUUUGUUGAUGUUGGUGCCUUUUUAUAUAAACUUGGUCAAAGUUACACAAUUUUGACUUAGGACAAAGCAAA